rnacentral:rRNA from 1 species
UGGGGAAUAUUGCACAAUGGCCGCAACCCUGAUGCAGCCAUGCCGCGUGUAUGAAGAAGGCCUUCGGGUUGUAAAGUACUUUCAGCGGGGAGGAAGGGAGUAAAGUUAAUACCUUUGCUCAUUGACGUUACCCGCAGAAGAAGCACCGGCUAACUCCGUGCCAGCAGCCGCGGUAAUACGGAGGGUGCAAGCGUUAAUCGGAAUUACUGGGCGUAAAGCGCACGCAGGCGGUUUGUUAAGUCAGAUGUGAAAUCCCCGGGCUCAACCUGGGAACUGCAUCUGAUACUGGCAAGCUUGAGUCUCGUAGAGGGGGGUAGAAUUCCAGGUGUAGCGGUGAAAUGCGUAGAGAUCUGGAGGAAUACCGGUGGCGAAGGCGGCCCCCUGGACGAAGACUGACGCUCAGGUGCGAAAGCGUGGGGAGCAAACA